GUGUUUGUUUUUUGCACUAUCUAAAUAUGGAAAAAGUGAAAAGAGUUAAAUCCAUUUGCUGGUAGGUUUUUGGAAAAAAAAAUACAGAAUCAGUGUAAAAUGUCCAGAAUUAUUUUGUUCAACAGUAGCGCUGAUGCGGAUUCCAUCGACGGAAUCGACACGAUCUGCUGGCGAACUGGCCGAGCUCUUUCAGCAAAAUGGCUGGGAUCUGAGACGCUGGGAAUAGAUAAAAUGACCGAAACCAGACGGGUGCUUCACAGAACAAAACAAGCAAUGUUUUCCCGUUACGAUGCACUACGCAGUUCCGUCACGAUUCCCGUUAAUCGGAAGCUAAAAUGCUGACGUGUUUGCAAAUCGGAACCCAUCGGAAAAUAUUUCUUUAACGCCUGAAAAUUUAUUUGUGAGAAGUGUUGAAGUGUGGAAUUACAACUGAACCUUUCCCUAAUGCGAAAUAAUAAAAUAAGUUGAUUAAAAGUACA
rnacentral:lncRNA from 1 species